CCUGCCCCAGGCGAAGGGAGUGGCUUGGAGAACCUGCCCGUGUUUUACACACCCAAUGUCUGGGUCUGGUGAAAAACCCCAAACGUUGCUGAAGCUGCUUGUGGUCUGGAGGAGGGGAGGGUGAUGCUCAGGAGAUGACCUUUGCCCUCGUUUUUUCAGAGUGAAGCCCAGACCAUCGGUUCUGCUGUUGGCAGAGAGAAAGCAGCUGGGCUGAACUCGCUUUUAAGUGAACAAACAUUGGGUUAACAAGUUACCGCUGUCGAUGAUGCGGUUAAAACCGAGCUCACAUUAAGGGCCAGGCGAGUUUGAGUAGAAGUGCCUCAAAGUGGCUGUCAGAAAGGUGAGACAAGCAUGAGGCUGCUAGCAGACAGCUUUUGUUGCUUAGCCCCAUCUAUCUAAGAAGGCUGAGAACUACAGAGGAUGAGCGUGGCUGGCAGCUGAGGAGGACGGGGAUCUGUUCGGCGGUGAUGGGGAGGUGCAACAAGGCGGGCACUGCUGCUGCUUCAGAAACCUUUGCUGCCUUGUGGAUGGGAAUGAGAGCUGCUUCAGCCUUGCUCCUCCAGCACGUUUAAGAAGUGUCCUUCCCUUCCUUCCCUGACCAUCUUCUAGCUUGCUGUUUGUUAAAGAGGAGACCGCCUGCUUGCUUCCAGAUCCCACGGUGACAGCCUGCCAGGUCACCUCCCUUGGAAGAAUUGCUGUCUGAGGGCUUCUCUUCCCUGUGGAAUCAGCUCAGGCUUUCAGCUGAGGGUGCCCUGCCUCCCUGCUCUGCCCGUGCUCCUGCCAGAAGCCUGCUGGUGAAUCGCAGUGGUGCUGUGGGCCAGAGGAGUCUGAGUGCUGGAGUCACUGCUGUGUCUGCUGCCAUGCACACCUUGGGGUGCAGCCCUCGCCCUGCAAAGCCCCAGCCCCUUGAGGUUGGUGAUGGUCUUCGCCCAGGCACUGCCCUGAUUCAGCUGCACUGGGGACAUUGCUGCUGUCCCCAUUCAGGCAUUGCUGGGACAGGCUGCUGUCAAACUCUCAGCAAGAGCAGUCUGGAGGGGAAUCAAUAUUCCUGCCUGAGCAGCUGGUUUCUCUCAGCAAGAAAAGAGAUGUUCAUAGCUAGCUGAAAAUUAAACCAAGUGCCACCACUUCUGUGACUGGCUUCACUUCCAGACCCUCCAACUCAAGGCUGCUGUCUUCUGCAGCCUUGUGGGUGGGCCUGCUGCUUAAUAAUUGCUGUUCUCCCAAUUACUGAGGCCUUUGCCUUUCUUCUGCUCCUUCUUGCCACCACCUGAGUGACAGAAGGCAGAGAUCACCCAAAGGCAUGACUGCUGGUUUUCUGGCCACACUCAGCUAAAUUUGAGCUCUCUGCCCAGCACCCAUGGCUCAGUUCACCUCGGGUCCCCGGCAUUGCUGCUUAAAAUUGCUCUUCCUCCAAUUGCAUUUCAGACACCGAGAGUUGCUCUGUGUCUAAGGACAGCCACAGAGUUACACCUCCAAGGGGACUCUUGUGGGAUGAGACCGAAUUUAGGAAAAAGAGGGUGCCCCUUGACAACACCUGGGGUUGUGUUUUCCUGCUGGUGUUUGCAGGUGCAAGAGCCUGCUCUGAGCAGCCUCGGAUGUGUGCAGCCUCGGGCCUGAAACAGUGGGAAUUUGUGGGGACGUGUUUGUGAGAAGGCACUCGGAGCCAUACAGGCUCAGACAGCAGAGGGUGACAGCUGGAGCUCAGAGAGUGGCUACGAGUAUGGAGAGCCUAGAGCUGCAACAGUCACAAGGGAAGCCACUGUGCCAGCCAGGAUGAAAGAUGAGUUUCAGCAGAACAUGAUCAAGAUAACAAAGCAGGGGGAAGACGUCUUGUGACAGCAGCUGGAUCUGUAGCAUCCAGCCUCAAAUAGGAGCAUGAAACAUCAGUUUGCUUGGAGGAGAGAAAAAUCAAUCAGCAGAGUUCCCAUAGGCUUGUGAGACAACAGAAUGCUCCAAGAUGUCCUGGAAGCUGCACCGUUUACCCUGAUGGGAAGGUGAGUCAGCACUCAAUUGUGCUCAGGCAAUUCGAUAUUCAGUUUGCCGAGCGUUGGCGAGGAGGCAAUUUGGCUGAUGUGGCCAUGCAGCAGCAUCAUCUCCUCACACAUCUGAGCUGCACCAGCUGCAACACAAAGCAUGUCACUGCCAGCGCUCCUGUGCCAGCGUCUGAGACAAUCAUCCUCUAGGAUCAGGAAGAACUCUCUCCUUCCAGUUCCAAUCCCGGAGCAGCUGUGUCACAUGGCUGGUUUGUGCCUUCUCCCGGAGCUGCUGGCUGCGAUGGCUCUUGAGAGCAGACAGAGACACCGCUGUGUGCAGGCACUCUCUGAAGUCCUGCACAGUAACAAGGGUGCAGGAGACCCCAGCUCCUGCUGCUGAGUGGCUUGCAGAGAAACCUAGAGCAGAGUGGGCUGUGUCCAUGUACGCGUGGGAGGACUGCUCAGUCUGUCCGUCACAUGGCAAAGACCUGUGACCAGGAGAAGAGAAGAGUCUGUGUCCUGUCCCUGCUGCUGCUUCACUGCCCAGCCUGCUCAAAGUGUGGCUCGCUCCAUCAGCCACGAAAGCUGUUGUGCUGAUCUGACCUGCUGCUGCAUCUUUGGAGCAAUUACACACUUAGGAUUCAGAAGCUGGAGAGGAAAAGAGUGAUUUACUCUACUUGAACCAAGGACUUCAGCUGAACGACCAUUUCAGUGCCAGUUGCAGUCUUCCAUAGGUGCCCAGGGCCCAUGAGCCAUGUUGAGAACAGGCUGCACAGACUGUGCUGCAACCCAGCCUCUGUGUCUCAGGAGCAAGCACACAGCUUGAAUCUUCAGUCUCCUCCCUUACUUCUGUGGCCAUGACUCAAUGGACCUCUAUUGAGAGUUGAGUAAGGCCAGAUCUGGGGCACAGCAAAUGCAAAGAUAAAUUCCCAUUGGUUUGUUGUGUUUUUUCCCCGUGGACAGUACCCUCAAAGGUUCAGGGUCAAACCUUCAGCUGUCACAAGCUGGCAUCGCACCACUCGCCCAGCUCUUCACGUCUACACAAAUGCAGAGUGACUAGGUUUCUGCUCAUCUAGAGAGGCACUCUUGGGGUUUUAUUAAUAUCAGGGUAGUUUUCAAUGCUCUUCCUCUCAUGAGAAUGAUUUUCAGACUGGAUUCAUCAAGGCACUGACACCUGAACUCAUUUUACUUUGAAGUCACCAUCACUGAUAUUGUCACAGCUUGUCAGCACAGCAGGCUAAUUGGUGCGUCUCAAACCAAUGCUCUCUGACCCAGUAUCAAUAACUGCAACCUUUCUCUUCCCUAACUGUGACACUCU